AACGAACGCUGGCGGCAGGCCUAAUACAUGCAAGUCGAACGCCUGUAGCAAUACAGGAGUGGCGCACGGGUGAGUAACACGUGGGAACGUACCUUUCGGUUCGGAAUAAUACAGGGAAACUUGUACUAAUACCGGAUACGCCCUUCGGGGGAAAGAUUUAUCGCCGAUAGAUCGGCCCGCGUCUGAUUAGCUAGUUGGUGAGGUAAUGGCUCACCAAGGCGACGAUCAGUAGCUGGUCUGAGAGGAUGAUCAGCCACACUGGGACUGAGGCACGGCCCAGACUCCUACGGGAGGCAGCAGUGGGGAAUAUUGGACAAUGGGCGAAAGCCUGAUCCAGCCAUGCCGCGUGAGUGAUGAAGGCCUUAGGGUUGUAAAGCUCUUUUGUCCGGGAAGAUAAUGACUGUACCGGAAGAAUAAGCCCCGGCUAACUUCGUGCCAGCCGCCGCCGUAACAC
rnacentral:rRNA from 1 species